rnacentral:rRNA from 1 species
AUUGAACGCUGGCGGCAGGCCUAACACAUGCAAGUCGAACGGCAGCACAGAAGAGCUUGCUCUUUGGGUGGCGAGUGGCGGACGGGUGAGUAAUGUCUGGGAAACUGCCCGAUGGAGGGGGAUAACUACUGGAAACGGUAGCUAAUACCGCAUAACGUCGCAAGACCAAAGUGGGGGACCUUCGGGCCUCACACAAUCGGAUGUGCCCAGAUGGGAUUAGCUUGUAGGUGGGGUAAUGGCUCACCGAGGCGACGAUCCCUAGCUGGUCUGCGAGGAUGACCAGCCACACUGGAACUGAGACACGGUCCAGACUCCUACGGGAGUCGGCAGUGGGGAAUAUUGCACAAUGGGCGCAAGCCUGAUGCAGCCAUGCCGCGUGUAUGAAGAAGGCCUUCGGGUUGUAAAGUACUUUCAGCGGGGAGGAAGGCGGUGAGGUUAAUAACCUCGCCGAUUGACGUUACCCGCAGAAGAAGCACCGGCUAACUCCGUGCCAGCAGCCGCGGUAAGAC